GUCUGUCUGUCUUGACUUGGAUUUGUUGAAAUGAACCUUUAAUUCACCCAAUAACGUGGGAAUAUGCUGCUCUAUACACGCUAAAAGUAGUGAUUAUUUACAUGGAGUCUGGUGGAGAUAUGCUGCUCUAUACACGCUCAAAGUAGUGAUUAUUUACAUGGAGUCUGGU